GACGAACGCUGGCGGCGUGCCUAAUACAUGCAAGUCGAACGCAGUGGGGACGGGUGAGUAACACGUGGGUAACCUCCCAUCAGAGGGGAUAACACUUGGAAACUGGUGCUAAACCGAUACUGAUGGAUGGACCCGCGGUGCAUUAGGUAGUUGGUGGGGUAACGGCUCACCAAGGCCAAGAUGCAUAGCCGACCUGAGAGGUGGAUCGGCCACACUGGGACUGAGACACGGCCCAGACUCCGACGGUAGGCAGCAGUAGGGAAUCUUCGGCAAUGGACGAAAGCCUGACCGAGCAACGCCGCGUGAGUGAAGAAGGUUUUCGGAUCGUAAAACUCUGUGGUUAGAGAAGCGGUAUCUACCCAGAAAGCCACGGCUAACUACGUGCCAGCAGCCGCGGUAAUAC
rnacentral:rRNA from 1 species